rnacentral:rRNA from 1 species
AUGUACAUGCCUACAAUGUUAAGGCAUUGGAUCCCAUCAGAACUCGACAGUUAAGUUCCCUUGGGAUAGAGUAGUAUUGGGAUGGGUAACCUCCUAGGAAGUCCUAGUGUUUUACAUC